rnacentral:rRNA from 1 species
CCUUUACUGACGCUAAAGCUCGAAGGUGCGGGUAUCGAACAGGAUUAGAUACCCUGGUAGUCCGCACGGUAAACGAUGGAUGCCCGCUGUUUGCGAUAUACUGUGAGCGGCCAAGCGAAAGCGUUAAGCAUCCCACCUGGGGAGUACGCCGGCAACGGUGAAACUCAAAGGAAUUGACGGGGGCCCGCACAAGCGGAGGAACAUGUGGUUUAAUUCGAUGAUACGCGAGGAACCUUACCCGGGCUUGAACUGCAGCAGAACGAUUGAGAGAUCAUGAGGUCCUUCGGGACUGCUGUGGAGGUGCUGCAUGGUUGUCGUCAGCUCGUGCCGUGAGGUGUCGGCUUAAGUGCCAUAACGAGCGCAACCCCUCUCUUCAGUUGCCAUCAGGUUAUGCUGGGCACUCUGGAGACACUGCCACCGUAAGGUGUGAGGAAGGUGGGGAUGACGUCAAAUCAGCACGGCCCUUACGUCCGGGGCUACACACGUGUUACAAUGGGUGGUACAGAGCGUCGGCGGCCUGCAAAGUCCGUCCAAUCGCAAAAUCCAUCCUCAGUUCGGACUGGGGUCUGCAACCCGACCCCACGAAGCUGGAUUCGCUAG